rnacentral:rRNA from 1 species
CCCGCUGAACUUAAGCAUAUCAAUAAGCGGAGGAAAAGAAACUAACAAGGAUUCCCCUAGUAACUGCGAGUGAAGCGGGAAAAGCUCAAAUUUAAAAUCUGGUGGCCUUUGGCCAUCCGAGUUGUAAUUUAGAGAAGCGUCUUCCGCGCUGGACCGUGCACAAGUCUCCUGGAAUGGAGCGUCGUAGAGGGUGAGAAUCCCGUCUUUGGCACGGACGCCCAGUGCUUCUGUGAUGCGCUCUCGAAGAGUCGAGUUGUUUGGGAAUGCAGCUCAAAAUGGGUGGUGAACUCCAUCUAAAGCUAAAUAUUGGCGAGAGACCGAUAGCGAACAAGUACCGUGAGGGAAAGAUGAAAAGCACUUUGGAAAGAGAGUGAAACAGUACGUGAAAUUGCUGAAAGGGAAACGCUUGAAGUCAGUCGCGUCAUCCAGGGAUCAACCUUGCUUUUGCUUGGUGUACUUUCUGGUUGACGGGUCAGCAUCAAUUUUGACCAUUGGAAAAAGAUUAAGGGAAUGUGGCAUACAUAGUGAUGUGUUAUAGCCCUUGGUUGCAUACAAUGGUUGGGAUUGAGGAACUCAGCACGCCGCAAGGCCGGGUUUUUAUUAACCACGUACGUGCUUAGGAUGUUGGCAUAAUGGCUUUAAUCGACCCGUCUUGAAACACGG